UACGUAGGUGGCAAGCGUUGUCCGGAUUUACUGGGCGUAAAGAGCGCGCAGGCGGUCGUUCAAGUCGCGUGUGAAAGCCCCCGGCUCAACUGGGGAGGGUCACGCGAUACUGAUCGACUCGAAGGCAGGAGAGGGAAGUGGAAUUCCUGGUGUAGCGGUGAAAUGCGCAGAUAUCAGGAAGAACACCCGUGGCGAAAGCGGCUCUCUGGGACGGUACUGACGCUGAGACGCGAAAGCGUGGGGAGCGAACAGG
rnacentral:rRNA from 1 species